CUCCAAUCAAAUCAUACUGGCAUUUCUCGGUUACAAAUACUACAUGGUAAAACAAAGGUAAUGUCAAUACGUGGCUAUAUCAUUGCUUUUCACUUGAAACCUUCGUAUUAAUAUUUCAGUUUGUAGAGAUUCCAAUGCAAUGGACCUGUUGAGGCACGCUUGUAAAUAUGACAUUUCUGAGGCUAAUAAUCUAUCGCGUUCACGCGGAAAAGUUAUGUCUAGACUUACUCUCACUCAUGUCACAAAGAUAGAAUAUAAAAAAAUUAAUUGCUGACCAUUGUUGUGUCAUGGAACCAGAAUGGCGAGCAUGAUAAUGUCGGUCAGUUACAAAUUCAACAAAAAAUCAUCGUCGCCACAAGACCUUGUUAUUGAUUAUGUGCAAAAGGCAAGGGAAAUGAGGGAUCGUGCAGUUGAAUAUUUUUCAAGACUAGACCAGCAGGGGACUAGAACUGAACGCCCACAUCCAGUUCGCUA